AAACACCAGAAAGGGAGUGAUUUCCUUUAGCAAAGAACAAGAAACACUUAUUAAGAAGCUAUAGAGAAAUUCAAGGACCAAUAAUGAAAGAAAGAACUUGUGGCUUUAAACUUUAGAUACUUGAUCAGUGACUUCUCCCUUUGGAUAAUUUGUUUACUUUAGAAUGUUUAAGCUUUAGAUACUUGAUUGACAAUGAAUCUAUACUAUAUAAGCUAAUUUAUAAGUUGUUAGAGAUUGAAACACCAAAAGAUUGUUUACUUAUUUAGUUUGAAAUAUAAGUUAUCUUAAAUU